rnacentral:rRNA from 1 species
AGUUAGCGGCGGACGGGUGAGUAACACGUGGGUAACCUGCCCAUAAGACUGGGAUAACUCCGGGAAACCGGGGCUAAUACCGGAUAACAUUUUGAACCGCAUGGUUCGAAAUUGAAAGGCGGCUUCGGCUGUCACUUUUGGAUGGACCCGCGUCGCAUUAGCUAGUUGGUGAGGUAACGGCUCACCAAGGCAACGAUGCGUAGCCGACCUGAGAGGGUGAUCGGCCACACUGGGACUGAGACACGGCCCAGACUCCUACGGGAGGCAGCAGUAGGGAAUCUUCCGCAAUGGACGAAAGUCUGACGGAGCAACGCCGCGUGAGUGAUGAAGGCUUUCGGGUCGUAAAACUCUGUUGUUAGGGAAGAACAAGUGCUAGUUGAAUAAGCUGGCACCUUGACGGUACCUAACCAGAAAGCCACGGCUAACUACGUGCCAGCAGCCGCGGUAAUACGUAGGUGGCAAGCGUUAUCCGGAAUUAUUGGGCGUAAAGCGCGCGCAGGUGGUUUCUUUAGUCUGAUGUGAAAGCCCCACGGCUCAACCGUGGAGGGUCAUUGGAAACUGGGGAGACUUGAGUGCAGAAGAGGAAAGUGGAUUUCCAUG